GUUGUUCCCAUUCACUCCCUUCGGCCUCCAGUGAGCCCAGCUGAUAGCUGCUGUCAGAUCCGCUCAGAAGAUAGCGAGGAGAUUUACAGAUUCUUCACAGAGUCUAGUGAUGGCGCUGUAGGACAGCAGUUUCGAGGACUGUUGCUUAACCACCACAAGAAGCAUCAUCUUUGAGGAUCUGACUUCUGAUAAUCCUGACCGCUGUGCUCCUGCAUGUAAGGAAGAAAAAGUGAAGCUUUAACAGCAAAUUGAACCAGCCUGAACAACAAAUGAUGCCUUUUAUCGUCUAAAUUACUCUUGUGCUCGACAGGCACACUUUGGACCAGAGUGGCACACAUGAAUGCCUUUAGACGUGGAAUUUGCUUUUAAGGAAAAACUAAAGGGCAAACACUAGUUAUUUUGCAAGAAUAAACCAAAAGGUGUCAAAGAGGAAAAUUUGAAGGUCCAGGCUGGUUCCAGUAGCCACAAGAUUUUUGAAGCCAGAAUUGUUGAUAGUCAUGACCAAGAUGAAGUGGG